UCCUGAGAGACAGCCGAUCGGAACAUCGGCUCAGAGCGACAAGGACUACAAGGAGCCACCUCCUGCUCCCUUGUUCGAGCCUGGCGAGCUUGCUUCGUGGUCCUUCUGGAGAGCAGGGAUCGCCGAGUUCAUCGCCACGUUUCUGUUCCUUUACAUCACUGUUUUGACCGUCAUGGGUGUCAAGAGGUCGCCGAACAUGUGUGCUUCUGUCGGAAUCCAAGGCAUCGCUUGGGCUUUCGGUGGUAUGAUCUUCGCUCUCGUCUACUGCACCGCUGGUAUCUCCGGUAAGUCACCACCAACACGUUUCAAAACUCUCAGAUCUAACGUUUGUAUAUGAUUAGAUCUUAGUGUUUAGACUGUUUAGUGAAGAACUAAACUAGGGUUUACAAAAACAUGUAACUAGGUUGGUUGUGUAAGAAAAGAAAAUAAACUAAGGAGCAAUAAUAAUUGAGAAUUUUUACCAAAAAAAAAAGUUUUACCAAAAAAGUAAUAAUUGAGGAAUUUUACCAAAAAAUAAUAAUUGAAGAAAUCUUUUUUUUUUUAAAUUGAGGAUUUUUUUUUUUAAUUUGUAGAUGUUUGUAAUAACGAUUUGUGUUGUGUUAUGGCCUCUCUCAGGUGGACACAUCAACCCAGCUGUCACGUUCGGUCUGUUCUUGGCAAGAAAGCUUUCGCUGACACGAGCUGUGUACUACAUAGUGAUGCAGUGCUUAGGAGCUAUCUGUGGAGCUGGUGUGGUCAAGGGGUUCCAACCAAAGCAGUACCAAGCUCUAGGAGGUGG
rnacentral:lncRNA from 1 species